CUACCAUGGCAGUAACGGGUAACGGAGAAUUAGGGUUCGAUUCCGGAGAGGGAGCCUGAGAAACGGCUACCACAUCUAAGGAAGGCAGCAGGCGCGUAAAUUACCCAAUCCUGAUUCAGGGAGGUAGUGACAAGAAAUAUAAACCCGGGGAACUAGUUUCUUACGGGAUUUAAAUGAGAACAAUUUAAAUCACUUAGCGAGGAACAAUUGGAGGGCAAGUCUGGUGCCAGCAGCCGCGGUAAUUCCAGCUCCAAUAGCGUAUAUUAAAGUUGUUGCAGUUAAAAAGCUCGUAGUUGAAUUUCUGGUCUUUUUUAGUCUUGGCUUCGGUCGGGCUAGAGAAGGCCGUCCGUCUGCAAGCUAUUCUCGGCCUUCAUUGGUUCGGAUUAGCGAGCUGACAUUUUACUUUGAAAAAAUUAGAGUGUUUCAGGCAGGCUUUUGCCCGAAUACAUUAGCAUGGAAUAAUGGAAUUGGACUCUGGUCCAUUUGGUUGGUUAUUGGAUCUGAGUAAUGGUUAAUAGGGACAGUUGGGGGCAUUAGUAUUUAAUUGUCAGAGGUGAAAUUCUUGGAUUUAUUAAAGACUAACUUAUGCGAAAGCAUUUGCCAAGGAUGUUUUCAUUAAUCAA
rnacentral:rRNA from 1 species